UGUAAGCUUUUAGAUGGCGAAACUGCGAAUGGCUCAUAAAACAGUUAUAGUUUAUUUGAUGGUCACUUACUAUAUGGAUAACCGUAGUAAUUCUAGAGCUAAUACAUGCAUAAAAGCCCGACUUCGCGGAAGGGCUGUGUUUAUUAGAUACAAAGCCAGCCUGGUCCCCGACCAGAGUUUUUGGUGAUUCAUAAUAACCAAGCGAAUCGCAGGCUAUGCCGGCGAUGGAUCAUUCAAGUUUCUGACCUAUCAGCUUUCGAUGGUAGGGUAUUGGCCUACCAUGGCAAUGACGGGUAACGGAGAAUUAGGGUUCGAUUCCGGANAGGGAGCCUGAGAAACGGCUACCACAUCUNAGGAAGGCAGCAGGCGCGCAAAUUACCCAAUCCUGAUACAGGGAGGUAGUGACAAGAAAUAACAAUACAAGGCAACUUUGUCUUGUAAUUGGAAUGAGUAGGGUAUAAAUCCUUCUACGAACUCCAUUGGAGGGCAAGUCUGGUGCCAGCAGCCGCGGUAAUUCCAGCUCCAAUAGCGUAUAUAAAGUUGUUGCGGUUAAAAAGCUCGUAGUUGGGUUUUAGCUAAGGACGACCGGUCCCGCUCUUGUGGGAGCCUGGUUUGGCCGAGGCACUUCUUCGAGGUGGCGAUGGCACUUGACUGUGCUGCGUUGUCUCGAGGGCUUUUACUUUGAGGAAAUUAGAGUGUUUCAAGCAGGCAUCUGCCUUGAAUACGUUAGCAUGGAAUAAUAGGAUAGGACUUUGGUCCUAUUUUGUUGGUUUUCGGGGCCUAAGUAAUGAUUAAUAGGGAUAGUCGGGGGCAUUCGUACUUAACUGUCAGAGGUGGAAUUCUUGGAUUUGUUAAAGACGAACUACUGCGAAAGCAUUUGCCAAGGAUGUUUUCAUUGAUCAAGAACGAAAGUUAGGGGAUCGAAGACGAUUAGAUACCGUCCUAGUCUUAACCAUAAACUAUGCCAACUAGAGAUUGGGGGCUGUUACCUAGUGAUGCCCUCAGCACCUCGUGAGAAAUCAAAGUCUAUGGGUUCCGGGGGGAGUAUGGUCGCAAGGCUGAAACUUAAAGGAAUUGACGGAAGGGCACCACCAGGAGUGGAGCCUGCGGCUUAAUUUGACUCAACACGGGAAACCUCACCAGGUCCAGACAUAGGAAGGAUUGACAGAUUGAGAGCUCUUUCUUGAUUCUUUGGGUGGUGGUGCAUGGCCGUUCUUAGUUGGUGGAGUGAUCUGUCUGGUUAAUUCCGAUAACGAACGAGACCUUAGCCUGCUAAAUAGGCAGCGUAUCAGUCAUGCUGAUGCGUGUCUUCUUAGAGGGACUCUGCCGGGUAUACCGCAGGGAAGUUUGAGGCAAUAACAGGUCUGUGAUGCCCUUAGAUGUCCUGGGCUGCACGCGCGCUACACUGACACACUCAACGAGUGCCUCCUGCUCCGAUGGGAGUGGGUACUCUUUUGAAACUGUGUCGUGAUGGGGAUAGAUGAUUGCAAUUAUUCGUCUUCAACGAGGAAUUCCUAGUAAGUGCAAGUCAUCAGCUUGCGCUGAUUACGUCCCUGCCCUUUGUACACACCGCCCGUCGCUCCUACCGAUUGGAUGUUCCGGUGAAUAAUUCGGACCGCAACAACAGAGCCUGUGCUAC
rnacentral:rRNA from 1 species